rnacentral:lncRNA from 1 species
CAGCCACAGAGCAAACUGACAAGGUCUCUGCUCUGAAAGGACGAAAUCGCUUCUGAGCCAAGCAGGCCUACGAAGGCAGGGAAACAGCGUUAUGUGAUAAGGGUCAGGGGUCGGGGGAACGGCUCCAGACUGGGGGGACGGGGUGACCUCCGAGCUGGAAUGUGAAUGAAGAGGAGGAGGCGGGGAAAGAAGCUCCAGAAAGAAGGCCGGGAGGCAGGGCCAGGGGCAAAGGGAAGGCGGACAGUCAAAUCCCGGCUCCCACACCUACUGGCCGUGUGACCUUGGACAAGUCAAUUCCCCUCCUCGACCCUCAGUUUCCCGGCCUCUGAAAUGGGGGUAAUGAUGCCGCGCCCAGAUGGACGCAGGAGGCCCCACUGCAGUGCCCGGAGCAGAUGGGUUCCGUUCUCUUUCCCUCCCCCUCCCCGGGUCUGAUGCCCGGCUGCAAUUCUCAGCCUCUGGAGGGACCGACCCCUUGGUUUCGGCUCAAUGAAACUGACUUCAGACUUUCAACCUCCAGAACUACAAGAAAAUAAACAUCUGUUGUUUUCAGCCACCAGCCUCCCAGAUUGUGGUGACUGGCUAUACUACCCUCAGAAGAGCCUGAGCUGACCCCUCAGCUAAAAUGUGCCAAAGGAAGCUCAGAGAGGUCAAGGGGCUCACCUGAAGUCACACAGCAGGAAGAGGCAGGGACCGGGACCCAGACCACUGGCCUCCAUACCAGUGAUCCACAGAGCCAGGAUGCUGAUGCCCACCCACGAGGACUUGGGCUCUGCAGGAGGACCUCCUUCUCCCUUCUGACUCCCAGCUGCCAGGCCUGUGCCCUCUGGGCUGUGCGCCUGACCAGGAGCCUGACCUCCUGGGCAGGGACCGGUCUCCACUCAAUGAACCUGGAAAUAGAAGCCUCUUCAGUCCUCCGAGGUCCUGGGGCCACCGUGGGGCCAGGGAUGCCCAGACUCGGGUUACCCUGACACCCACAGGGCAGUUCCAGCGAUGGCCACUCAAGAAAGUGGGCUUCACCCACUGGGACCCACUCUCCCCUCACCCUCCAGGCUCCGCCCUGACACACCCUCACUGCCUAACUCUGAAGCUGGGGAGGCACAGGGCUCGAGGGCUGGAUGUUAACUAGCCCUGACUCACGGAGAAAAGCAGAUCCAGGCCGCAGAGCGUCUCCACUGGGGGCCAGCCCAUCUCUAACACUAGAGAGCAAGGCCUCGGGCUCAAAAC